GAUGAACGCUGGCGGCGUGCCUAAUACAUGCAAGUCGAGCGAACGGACGAGAAGCUUGCUUUUCUGAUGUUAGCGGCGGACGGGUGAGUAACACGUGGAUAACCUACCUAUAAGACUGGGAUAACUUCGGGAAACCGGAGCUAAUACCGGAUAAUAUUUUGAACCGCAUGGUUCAAAAGUGAAAGACGGUCUUGCUGUCACUUAUAGAUGGAUCCGCGCUGCAUUAGCUAGUUGGUAAGGUAACGGCUUACCAAGGCAACGAUGCAUAGCCGACCUGAGAGGGUGAUCGGCCACACUGGAACGGAGACACGGUCCAGACUCCUACGGGAGGCAGCAGUAGGGAAUCUUCCGCAAUGGGCGAGAGCCUGACGGAGCAACGCCGCGUGAGUGAUGAAGGUCUUCGGAUCGUAAAACUCUGUUAUUAGGGAAGAACAUAUGUGUAAGUAACUGUGCACAUCUUGACGGUACCUAAUCAGAAAGCCACGGCUAACUACGUG
rnacentral:rRNA from 1 species